rnacentral:rRNA from 1 species
CAGUCGCCGCGGUAAUACGUAGGUCCCGAGCGUUGUCCGGAUUUAUUGGGCGUAAGGGGAGCGCAGGCGGUUUAGUAAGUCUGAAGUUAAAGGCAUUGGCUCAACCAAUGUAUGCUUUGGAAACUGUUAGACUUGAGUGCAGAAGGGGAGAGGGGAAUUCCAUGUGUAGCGGUGAAAUGCGUAGAUAUAUGGAGGAACACCGGUGGCGAAAGCGGCUCUCUGGUCUGUCACUGACGCUGAGGCUCGAAAGCGUGGGUAGCGAACAGGAUUAGAUACCCCAGUAGUCCCUGUCUCUUAUACA